rnacentral:rRNA from 1 species
GCUAAAAAUCUUAGCCCAUUAAACUUACAAACCCCAUUUUUACUAAAUCAAAACAUUUAUCUUGGCUAGUAAAUGAGAUUAAAACCCACCACAGGCCUAACAAGUACCGCAAGGGAACAGUGAAAGAAAAAUGAAAUACUAAAAGCAUAACAAAGCAAAGAUUUAACCCUGUACCUUUUGCAUCAUGGUCUAGCAAACCCCAUAUAGACAAAGAGACCUUAAGCCUUUCAACCCGAAACCAAACGAGCUAUUUUUAAGCAGCUUUUAACUAGAGCACACCCGUCUCUGUAGCAAAAGAGUGGAGAGACUUAAAAAUAUGGGGCAAAAAACCUACCGAGCUUGGUGAUAGCUGGUUACCCAACAAAAGAAUUUUAGUUCAACUUUAAGUAUUAACUUGAGCCAAACCCCUAAAUCUCAUACCCUAAUACUUAAAGAAACUCAACAGGGGUACAGCCCUCUUGAGCCGGAACACAACCCGAGUUGAGAGUAAACUUUUCACAAACACCCCCCCCCGUAGGCUUCAAAGCAGCCACCAAAGCAACUGCGUUACAGCAAAUCCUAAAACAAUACCCCUAUUAAAACCAAACUCCCAAUCAUCAAUGGGUUAUUCUAUUAUAAAAUAGAAACACCAAUGCUAAAAUUAGUAAUAAGAAACACUCGUUUCUCCUGGCACCCCUAUAAAUCAGAAUAGAAAAACUACUGACCAUUAACAACAUAAUAAAUAUACCAACGCAACCUAGCAACAAUGUUAUCAAAAACUUGUUACCCCGACUCAGGAGUGCAAUAAGGAAAGACAAAAAAUCAUAAAAGGAACUCGGCAAACCUUAUUCCCAACUGUUUACCAAAAACAUAGCCUUUAGCCCUACAAGUAUUAAAGGUCCCGCCUGCCCAGUGACUUUUUAAACGGCCGCGGUAUCCUAACCGUGCAAAGGUAGCAUAAUCACUUGUCUUUUAAAUAAAGACUAGAAUGAACGGCUAAAUGAGGAUCAAGCUGUCUCUUAUGAUUGGUCAAUGAAAUUGAUCUUCCAGUCCAAAAGCUGAAAUUUUUACAUAAGACGAGAAGACCCUGUGGAGCUUAAAAACCCCAUACAACAAUAUGCUUAGUGGUUUUUUAGUUGGGGCGACUUCGGAGCACAAAUCAACCUCCAAAACACAACUUAUUUAUAAGAUAAACACAUCAAAAUAAAUGUUCCAGACCCAGAACCGUUUUCUGAUUAAUGAACCAAGUUACCCCAGGGAUAACAGCGCCAUCCCCUUCAAGAGUCCCUAUCGACAAGGGGGUUUACGACCUCGAUGUUGGAUCAGGACACCCAAAUAGUGCAGCCGCUAUUAAAGGUUUGUUUGUUCAACAAUUAAAGUCCUACGUGAUCUGAGUUCAGACCGGGGAGACCCAGGUCGGUUUCUAUCUAUGAGGCACCACCUUCAGUACGAAAGGACCAAGAUAGUAGAACCUCCCCUAAAGGAGCGUCCUAAUACAUAUCACUAACUCACACUAAAGAGAAACCCAUGCCACCAACGAGUCUUAUAGACGU